AGAGUUUGAUCCUGGCUCAGGAUUAACGCUGGCGGUAUGCCUAAUACAUGCAAGUCGUGCGGGGAGAUUUAUCUCCUAGCGGCGAACGGGUGAGUAACACGUACCUAACUUACCCCAAUGACUGGGAUAACUGAGGGAAACUUCAGCUAAUACCGGAUAGGAUCUUUGAAGGCAUCUUCUUAGGUUUAAAGGUGGGUUUCCAUCACGUUGGGAUAGGGGUGCGCAGCAUUAGCUUGUUGGUGAGGUAACGGCUCACCAAGGCAACGAUGCUUAGCCGGUCUGAGAGGACGAACGGCCACACUGGAACUGAGACACGGUCCAGACUCCUACGGGAGGCAGCAGUGGGGAAUAUUGGACAAUGGGCGAAAGCCUGAUCCAGCUAUGCCGCAUGAGUGAAGAAGGCCUUUGGGUUGUAAAGCUCUUUUAGUGAGGAAGAUAAUGACGGUACUCACAGAAGAAGUCCUGGCUAACUCCGUGCCAGCAGCCGCGGUAAUACGGAGGAUCCAAGCGUUAUCCGGAAUCAUUGGGUUUAAAGGGUCCGUAGGCGGACUAGUAAGUCAGUGGUGAAAUCUUUCAGCUUAACUGAGAAAUUGCCAUUGAUACUGCAAGUCUUGAAUAAUUAGGAAGUAACUAGAAUAUGUAGUGUAGCGGUGAAAUGCUUAGAGAUUACAUGGAAUACCAAUUGCGAAGGCAGGUUACUACUAAUUCAUUGACGCUGAUGGACGAAAGCGUGGGUAGCGAACAGGAUUAGAUACCCUGGUAGUCCACGCCGUAAACGAUGGAUACUAGCUGUUGGUAGCAAUAUCAGUGGCUAAGCGAAAGUGAUAAGUAUCCCACCUGGGGAGUACGAACGCAAGUUUGAAACUCAAAGGAAUUGACGGGGGCCCGCACAAGCGGUGGAGCAUGUGGUUUAAUUCGAUGAUACGCGAGGAACCUUACCAAGGCUUAAAUGUAGUUUGACCGUUUUGGAAACAAGACUUUCGCAAGACAAAUUACAAGGUGCUGCAUGGUUGUCGUCAGCUCGUGCCGUGAGGUGUCAGGUUAAGUCCUAUAACGAGCGCAACCCCUGUUGUUAGUUGCCAGCGAGUCAAGUCGGGAACUCUAACAAGACUGCCAGUGUAAACUGUGAGGAAGGUGGGGAUGACGUCAAAUCAUCACGGCCCUUACGCCUUGGGCUACACACGUGCUACAAUGGACGGUACAGAGAGCAGCCACAACGCAAGUUGGAGCGAAUCUACAAAACCGUUCUCAGUUCGGAUCGGAGUCUGCAACUCGACUCCGUGAAGCUGGAAUCGCUAGUAAUCGGAUAUCAGCCAUGAUCCGGUGAAUACGUUCCCGGGCCUUGUACACACCGCCCGUCAAGCCAUGGAAGCUGGGGGUGCCUGAAGUCGGUGACCGCAAGGAGCUGCCUAGGGUAAAACUGUAUUUUGAAC
rnacentral:rRNA from 1 species